CUGAAGCGACUUAAGCAGUAGCAGCAGCAGCAGCCUCCCUUUUUAGUAUUCUGAAGGAUGCCUGAAUUCAAUUCAGUGAGCAGUACCACUUUGGACUUGGGAACAGUCUUAGUAGAGCUGACCUGAAGCAGAGGUCGACCUGCUGAACAGAUAUUGCCCAAACUAAGAAGGUUUACAGGAACAUUGUGACCUGACCAUGUGGACUGCUGCAAGAACAGAUUCCUGCACCAAGAGGUUCGCAAUGACUAACUCUCCUCCUCCCCACACUCUGCCCCUCACGUUUCAGUAACCAGUAUAAUCACUCCGGGCUCCUGUGAUAAAAGCUUAGGCCUUUUACUGUAAUGAAUGAUCUUCCUUUAUUACAAGAGAGAUUUUCCUGAAAAGCUAUCUGUAAGUCAUUUAUUUCUCUAUAAAAUCACAUUCCCAUUACACUUAUUGCAUUUGCUAUGAUAUUGCCUUCAUAAAAAUAACUCUCCAAAUGUGUAUGUUUCCUAAAUUGAAGUUCUGGAAACCACUCUUAGAAUCUCAGAAUUUCAGAGCUUGCCACAGAAGGGAGAUUGGGAAGAGAAGAGAAGAAAUGGUGUUUAAUGAUUGCUUUUGGUUUCUGUUUAAUAAAACAGUUGUACAAAAUAACGUGUGUCCAACAUGACUAAACAUAAUAUACAACUGCCCUCUCAUCAUUAAUUUCAACUCCACGAAAACCUAUUUUAUUGAAAGCAUUUGCUUGUUAAAGAUGCUAACUUUCAAGUACUAUUGAGUGUUUAUAAGCCAUGCCCAUGCCUCAGGUUUUGAUUAUACAUUAUCCAAAGCCAUAGCUGAAUAUCUACUGUGUGACUUACACAUAGAAAAAUUUGUAUAAGGGAUGCUCCUUGCUCUCAAGAAAUCUGCUACCUUCUACCAGAAGACAGGCCCUGAAAACACUGCACAGAAUUCUCCAGAGUCAUGAGCACACAAUUCUCAUGUAGCUGAGAAGAGGGUACAGAAUACCCUAGAGGCCGCUGGGCAGGGGCUCAAGUGGCCUGCGGGGUAGCCUGACCCUGCCACCGUCUCCUGGAGCUAUUUAGGGGACCUGGCAUUAAACAGCAUGAUGCCUGCUGUUAUUUUCUCCUCUGACCCUCCCUUGUCAUGGGAGGAGACACGGACUGACUUAGCAGGGUUCUUAGACUUGUCAGGAGCCAGAAGACGUGGAGGGGGGAGGGCAGUGAGCAAUAGGAGCCUUCUGCUAGCGGCUGCCACAGGGGAAGGGUGAUCAGGUGCUUCCCAGAUAGCUUUCCAAGAUGCUUUCAAAAUUAUAUCCUGCACCAUUGCCUCAUCUUGUUAAUCUGAUCCCAAAACAAGAUUUGGCUUGCCUUUGGAAAAUUUGCUUGACUUGUAACAGUGGAUGAUGUACCUCGAGUCCACAAAUCUUCUCUCAGCUAAGAAAAUGAAGUCUCUCUUUAUAGAAAGUCAUGACUUAAAGACCUGUGCACAAAUAUGCAGCUUUAUUCACAAAAGCCCUAGACUGGAAUCAACCCAAAUGUUUCAGCAUUUACCUGCUGAUAGACACAUUUUGGUAUAUCUACUAAUAUAAAAAGACUUUUUACUUAACAAUAAAAUAGAACAUACUGAUUCAGGCAGCAAUAAGGUUGGAUUUCAAAGACAUGCUGGGAAAAAAAAAAAAAAGACAUGCUGAGCAAAAGAAUCCAGACCCCCAAAGAAUAUAUGUACUAUAUGUA